GACGGAGGGUGCAAGCGUUGUUCGGAAUCAUUGGGCGUAAAGGGCGCGCAGGCGGCCUCUCAAGUCCGAUGUGAAAGUCCGAGGCUCAACUUCGGAAGCGCAUCGGAAACUGAGUGGCUUGAGUCCGAGAGGGGACCGUGGAAUUCCUGGUGUAGGGGUGAAAUCCGUAGAGAUCAGGAGGAACACCGGAGGUGAAAACGACGGUCUGGAUCGGAACUGACGCUGAGGCGCGAAAGCGCGGGUAGCGAACAGG
rnacentral:misc_RNA from 1 species